rnacentral:rRNA from 1 species
AGUGAACGCUGGCGGUAGGCCUAACACAUGCAAGUCGAACGGCAGCGCUGUAAGAGCUUUCCUUUACGGAUGGCGAGAGGCGGGCGGGUGAGGAAAACAUCGGAAGCUACUUUUUCGUGCGGGAUAACGUAGGGACACUUACGCUAAUACUGCAUACGGCCUACGGGUGAACGCAGGGGAUCUUCGGACCUUGCGCGUUUGUAUGAGCCGAUGUCGGAUUAGCUAGUUGGCGGGGUGAAGGCCCACCAAGGCAACGAUCCGUAGCUGGUCGGAGAGGAUGAUCAGGCACACUAGAACGGAGACGCGGUCCAGACUCCAACCGGACGCAGCAGAGGGGAAUAUUGGACAAGGGGCGGAAGCCUGAUCCAGCCAUGCCGCGUGGGGUAAGGAGGCACUCGGGUUGUAAAUCUCAUCUGUUGGGAAAGAAAAGCAGCAGGUUAAUACCCCGCUGUUCUGACGGUACCAAAAGAAUAAGCACCGGCUAACUUCGUG